UACGUAGGGUGCAAGCGUUGUCCGGAAUCAUUGGGCGUAAAGAGCGCGCAGGCGGCUUGGCAAGUCGGGUGUGAAGUCCCGGGGCUCAACCCCGUGACUGCAUCCGAUACUGUCAGGCUAGAGGUAGGUAGGGGAGAUCGGAAUUCCUGGUGUAGCGGUGAAAUGCGUAGAGAUCCGGAGGAACACCAGAGGCGAAGGCGGCCUACUGGGCGGCACCUGACGCUGAGCCGCGAAAGCCAGGGGAGCGAACGGG
rnacentral:rRNA from 1 species